GGGGAAUAUUGGACAAUGGGGGCAACCCUGAUCCAGCAAUUCUGUGUGCACGAAGAAGGUUUUCGGAUUGUAAAGUGCUUUCAGCAGGGAAGAAAAAAUGACGGUACCUGCAGAAGAAGCGACGGCUAAAUACGUGCCAGCAGCCGCGGUAAUACGUAUGUCGCAAGCGUUAUCCGGAAUUAUUGGGCAUAAAGGGCAUCUAGGCGGCCAGAUAAGUCUGGGGUGAAAACUUGCGGCUCAACCGCAAGCCUGCCCUGGAAACUAUGUGGCUAGAGUACUGGAGAGGUGGACGGAACUGCACGAGUAGAGGUGAAAUUCGUAGAUAUGUGCAGGAAUGCCGAUGAUGAAGAUAGUUCACUGGACGGUAACUGACGCUGAAGUGCGAAAGCUAGGGGAGCAAACAGGAUUAGAUACCCUGGUAGUCCUAGCUGUAAACGAUGAUUACUGGGUGUGGGCAUGAAGAGUGUCCGUGCCGAAGCUAAUGCGAUAAGUAAUCCGCCUGGGGAGUACGGCCGCAAGGCUG
rnacentral:rRNA from 1 species